UGUGAAAGCUUUUAGCCAGAGGCGGACUUACCCAUUAGGCAAAGGUCGGCAAUUGCCUUGGGCCCCGAGCUACCAGGGGCCCCGUAAAACGCCUCAUAGACUUAUGGUUACG